AAUGGCAGAAGCAAAAAGCAAUGAUUCAGAUCCAUGGUGGCUGCCUUAUUUAUUUAUCUGUAUGGGAAUAGUGAUUCUGGUGUUCAUUGUAAUGCCAAUCUCCAGUAUCAGUGGAUUUAACUGUUUAAGAAAAUGCAAUGCCCAGAAAGUGCAGGAUCAGCUUACAUCAAAAUUCAUCUUGACAACACCUGUCAAAGAUAUUCUGAAGGACGAGGAAUUUGUCUGUGUCCAGUACUCAGAAGUUAUACAAAUUAAAAAAAAAAUUGUGAUCGCAUAGACAUAUUCAGGGCUGUUUCUAGGCAAAGACAAACCAGGCGGUCGCCUAGGGCGCCACCAGCUCCAGGGGCGCCAAAGAGCGCAUAUACAUUUUGACUUCUGCGUCACUGACUUGAAUAAGUAAAAAAUGAGCACUGCAACAAAAUUAAAGAUAAACUCUGAAUGUCAUGUGUUUAACACAGAAUGGACAGCAAAAUAUUUCACCAGCAUCAGACAGAAGAUGGUAUGUGUGAUUUGCCCAAAGUUUUGCAGUUUUGCAAGAC